rnacentral:rRNA from 1 species
AAUGCUUUAUGCGUCAAAAGGAUUCGUCUGCCCAAGGAUGGGUCUGCGGCCUAUCAGGUAGUAGUGGGUGUAAUGUACCUACUAGCCAGCGACGGGUACGGGUUGUGAGAGCAAGAGCCCGGAGAUGGAUUCUGAGACAUGAAUCCAGGCCCUACGGGGCGCAGCAGGCGCGAAAACUUUACAAUGCGGGAAACCGUGAUAAGGGGACACCGAGUGCCAGCAUCAUAUGCUGGCUGUCCGGAUGUGUAAAAUACAUCCGUUAGCAAGGGCCGGGCAAGACCGGUGCCAGCCGCCGCGGUAACACCGGCGGCCCGAGUGGUGAUCGUGAUUAUUGGGUCUAAAGGGUCCGUAGCCGGUUUGGUCAGUCCUCCGGGAAAUCUGAUAGCUCAACUAUUAGGCUUUCGGGGGAUACUGCCAGACUUGGAACCGGGAGAGGUAAGAGGUACUACAGGGGUAGGAGUGAAAUCUUGUAAUCCCUGUGGGACCACCUGUGGCGAAGGCGUCUUACCAGAACGGGUUCGACGGUGAGGGACGAAAGCUGGGGGCACGAAACCGGAUUAAGAUACCCGGGUAGUCCCAGCCGUAAACGAAUGCUCGCCUAGGGUGUCAGGGCAUGGCGCCGACCGU